UCAGGUCUGGAACCUGAAAUUCUGAGUUUGGUAACCAUCAGCAUAGAAGGAAAACUUAACACCGUGAAAUCUCUUUCAAGAGAGGAAAGCAGGGUAAUAUAGUGUCAAAUGGCUGGGGAGAAGUGAAAAAUGAUGAUGCGGGGAAGGUUCGGAGUGUAUCAUAAAACCAGAGAGCCCCGAAGUCCAGCUGUUCUACGAUGUGGUGUACAGCGGGGGAGAGGGCUCUAUCCUCUACCUUCGUUCCUUCAGUGUGGCACCUCCACUCAGUAUUCCCAAAGCCUGGUAGCCAAGGAACAAGCAAAGAAUCUUCAGAAGGAUAGAAGGGAGGUGAGAGGAAUGUUGUAAAUGCGCUUAGAUUUCUUUUUGCACUUUGACACACAUAAUCUCAUUGUCUUUUCUGAGAGUGGAUGGCCAAAGGUACCAGAGCUAUUAAUGGAGCUUCUACGAAUGCCUGAGGCAGCAACAGAGGAUCCUUUAAAGUAAUCUUGAACAUUAGAAAAUACAGUGAAGAGACAUUGCAGAUGUGGCUGCCAUGUCACAUUUGUGUCAUUAGGUGGCAGAGAGAAGAGAGACUUGUCUACGCUCGGCGUUCUGGCCUGUGGACGUCUGGAUGAUUGAUAGUCUGACUUGACAGAAAAGGACUUCCCUGGUGGUGCAGUGGUUAAGAAUCCGCCUGCCAAUACAGGAGACACGGGUUCGAGCCCUGGUCCGGGAAGAUGCCAUAUGCCACA